UCAGGUGUGGUUUAGUUGGUUAUAACGCUGAGGUCCUCUUAGUCCUGGUGUUGCGGGGAGGUAACGCGAGUUCGAUCCUCGGCACCGGAC